rnacentral:rRNA from 1 species
UACGUAGGUGGCAAGCGUUGUCCGGAUUUACUGGGCGUAAAGGGUGCGUAGGUGGAUAUUUAAGUGGGAUGUGAAAUACCCGGGCUUAACCUGGGUGCUGCAUUCCAAACUGGAUAUCUAGAGUGCAGGAGAGGUAAGUGGAAUUCCUAGUGUAGCGGUGAAAUGCGUAGAGAUUAGGAAGAACACCAGUGGCGAAGGCGACUUACUGGACUGUAACUGACACUGAGGCAUGAAAGCGUGGGGAGCAAACAGG